UCAAUGCUUGCGAAAGCUUUGUUGAUCGUCGUCGCAGCCGAAAUCCUCAGAGCGGAAGAAGAAGAAGGAGCAUUUUGCAAAGGAAUUGAGGAGAUUGUCGAGCGGAUAGCAUGCAGAAGUACGAUCUCUUUCGUAGUUCGCCGGAAUUUUCUUUUGCUUAGAAGGUAAUAGAGCGUUGAGCAGGAUAGGGAUCGCGCACGCGCGCGCGAGAGAGCGCGAGAGCGAGAGAUUGAGAGAGUAGUGUUGCGGAUUUGUUAGGCGUUGAAAUGAGGAAAGCAUUGCCAUGGCUUAAGAUGUCUCCCUUGCUACGGCCUCUUGCGUAUGUGCAAGCGCAACGUAACGUGCCGCUGCUUGUCCCUUCCCUCACCUGCGCUGCGCACAAUGCUCCUGGCGAGAUUCGUGGUGCGUGUGAGAAGGAGAGAGUCUAUUGGCACGGUCUACGUGAAUGCCGCUACAUCAGUUCACCACCAAUGACAGAGGAUGAAGAAGGUGAAGCAGAAGUAGUGUUGUUCAGAGAAGUGUUUGGCGAAGACGGAGAGAGUGUUGAUACUUGGAAGGCUGAAGAAAGGUUGUUUAGUGCGACUACUGCAGACCGUAAGAGAGAACUAGGAUCAGUCGCAGACUUGGACUGGUUGAGACUGACGGACCGGGAGCUUCAGGCGCAAUGUAGGGUAGAGACUCUACGAUCUUCUGGUCCAGGAGGGCAACAUAGGAAUAAAACUGAAAGUGCUGUGCGGCUGCUACAUCUGCCAACUGGACUCGUGUCAUUCGCAGCAGAGGACCGGUCCCAACAUAAGAAUCGAACCAAGGCUUUCAAGAGGUUAAGGGAGGUGAUCGCUGUGACAGUUAGGCAGCCAGUGGAAUUGAAGAGAUACCAAAUUCCACCUGACCUGAUGCGCAUAUUGCCCUCCACCCCUCAGACACGAAGUAAGAGAGGGGGGGGGGGGGGAGCAGAUUGGCCCAAAUCAUUUUAAUUUUGUCCUGGGAAUUCAGCCUUUGCUUGACUUGCUUGAGGCUACGAAAGGCUCUAUCUCGGAAUGUGCUGCAAUUCUUGGGCUUAGCACUGCGGCACUUGCAAGACUUACAGUAUCAAACAAAGUGCUAUGGAAGGGAGUUAACACUCUGCGAGCAUCUUAUAAUUUGAAGCCGAUUCGUGGAGAUUGAGUUUCUCUGCCUUGCUUGGAGGAGAACUUAUCAAAUCGUGAGCUAGGGGCUUCCUGCUAGAUUUUACCUUGACGUGAUACAGCCAUAUUAAUAUCAAGUAGACAUCUCUGAGGUACUGUACGUCUGGAUUUAAUAUAUGCUACACAUGGGAUCGUAAUUCUGAAGCGAGGCACGUUGAAACUUCAUUGUGAGCAUCAAACAAGGACUUCAAACAUCAUGUUAUUAUCUCUAAGCGAGGGUUGUCUUUAAAAUGCAUGUCUUUUGAGCAUCUCUUGCACCUA